AUGUAUAACCUUCCUCCUUGGAUGUGCAUGAAGCGGAAGUUCAUUAUGAUGCCAGUUCUCAUCCAAGGCCCUAAGCAACCCGGCAACGACAUUGAUGUGUACCUAAGGCCAUUAGUUGAAGAACUUUUACAACUGUGGAAUGGAAACGGUGUACGUACGUGGGAUGAGCACAAACAGGAGGAAUUUAACCUGCACGCGUUGCUGUUUGUAACCAUCAACGAUUGGCCCGCUCUCAGUAACCUUUCAGGACAGACAAACAAGGGAUACCAUGCAUGCACGCACUGUUUAGAUGACACUGAAAGUAUAUACCUGGACAAAUGCAGGAAGAAUGUGUACCUGGGCCAUCGUCGAUUUCUUCCGACCAACCAUCAAUGUCGAAAGAAAGGCAAGCAUUUCAAAGGCGAGGCAGAUCACCGGAAGAAGCCCGCCAUGCGUACCGGUGAUCACGUACUUGCUAUGGUCAAUGAUUUACACGUAAUCUUUGGAAAGGGUCCCGGCGGACUAGCUGUUCCGAAUGACGCUGAGGGACACGCACCCAUGUGGAAGAAGAAAUCUAUAUUUUGGGACCUACCCUACUGGAAAGAGCUAGAGGUCCGCUCUUCAAUCGACGUGAUGCACGUGACGAAGAACCUUUGCGUGAACCUGCUAGGCUUCUUGGGCGUGUAUGGGAAGACAAAAGAUACACCUGAGGCACGGGAGGACCUGCAACGUUUGCACGAAAAAGAUGGCAUGCCUCCGAAGCAGUAUGAAGGUCCUGCCAGCUACACUCUUACGAAAGAAGAGAAAGAAAUCUUCUUUGAAUGCCUGCUCAGUAUGAAGGUCCCGACUGGCUUCUCGUCGAAUCUAAAGGGAAUAAUAAAUAUGCCAGAGAAAAAGUUCCAGAACCUAAAGUCUCAUGACUGCCACGUGAUUAUGACGCAACUGCUUCCGGUUGCAUUGAGGGGGCUUCUACCGGAAAACGUCCGAUUAGCCAUUGUGAAGCUAUGUGCAUUCCUCAAUGCAAUCUCUCAGAAGGUGAUCGAUCCAGAAAUCAUACCAAGGCUAAGGAGUGAUGUGGCGCAAUGUCUUGUCAGUUUCGAGCUGGUGUUCCCACCAUCCUUCUUCAAUAUCAUGACGCACGUCCUAGUUCAUCUAGUCGACGAGAUUGUCAUUCUGGGGCCCGUAUUUCUACACAAUAUGUUCCCCUUUAAGAGGUUCAUGGGAGUCCUAAAGAAAUAUGUCCGUAACUGCGCUAGGCCAGAAGGAAGCAUCUCCAUGGGCCAUCAAACAGAGGAUGUCAUUGGGUUUUGUGUUGACUUCAUUCCUGGCCUUAAGAAGAUAGGUAUCCCUAAAUCGCGGUAUGAGGGGAGACUGACUGGAAAAGGCACGCUUGGAGGGGACUCAAUAAUAUGCAGGGACGGAUAUUCUUGGUCUCAAGCACACUACACAGUUCUACAGAACUCUACCUUGGUGACCCCGUAUGUCGAUGAAGACAAGAACAGUCUGCGCUCCAAACACCCGGAGUAG
rnacentral:rRNA from 1 species